UGUGUGUGUGUGUGUGUGUGUGUGUGUGUCUGGUGUGUGUCUGGUGUGUGUCUGGUGUGUGUGUGUGUGUGUGUUCUUCUGUUGGAGGUGUUCUAGAAACAGCAGCUCGGACUGUCAGAGCGGUCUGAUUGGUGAGGGGGGGGGGGGGGAAAACUUAGCUGUUAUUGGCAGAGAGAUUUCAAACCUCUCUUAUUGGUCUAUUAACCUAAUUAUGAUGUCACAAGGCAGGCCAAAAAAAACUCCGCCCCCAACCAAAAAACAGGAUUGAAAAUUUCAGAGGGGUCUUUUCAAAUAACUCUUCCCACUAAAAUGACAUUAUCAAUUUCACAGUAUUAUUCCAACCUCAUAGCGUGGAAAUAUAUCAAUCACAGGAACGUUUUUUCACUGCCCUGGGCCUUUAAAAGAAGUUUAAUAAAAAAGUGACGAAUGUAAUAUUGUGUGGUAAAAAAAAAAAAUGUUCUGUUGAAUUCUGUGUAAUUAUGAAUUUUGAUUUAAAAGAGAUGUUUUGAUUUGUAAAAUUCAUUUGAUCUGAAUUGAGAUGGAGAAAUAAAAAAAUAAAACGUUGAUUACCCCUAAAAAAAAAUACUGAAAGGUUGAAUAAAAUGACAGAUAAAACUCGGUUCUGUUAUACUGCAGGUCUUUAUGUUCAGAUAAAAGGGGAGGUUUCCUUUAUGUUCAGAUAAAAGGGGAGGUUUCCUUUAUGUCCAGAUAAAAGGGGAGGUUUCCUUUAUGUCCAGAUAAAAGGGGAGGUUUCCUUUAUGUUCAGAUAAAAGGGGAGGUUUCCUUUAUGUCCAGAUAAAAGGGGAGGUUUCCUUUAUGUCCAGAUAAAAGGGGAGGUUUCCUUUAUGUCCAGAUAAAGGGGAGGUUUCCUUUAUGUUCAGAUAAAAGGGGAGGUUUCCUUUAUGUCCAGAUAAAGGGGAGGUUUCCUUUAUGUCCAGAUAAAAGGGGAGGUUUCCUUUAUGUUCAGAUAAAAGGGGAGGUUUCCUUUAUGUUCAGAUAAAAGGGGAGGUUUCCUUUAUGUUCAGAUAAAAGGGGAGGUUUCCUUUAUGUUCAGAUAAAAGGGGAGGUUUUCCUUUAUGUUCAGAUAAAAGGGGAGGUUUCAGUAUGCAGAUCAGGGACGAUAUACAGGACCAGUCAAAAUGUUGGACAACACCAACUCAAUCCAGGGUUUUUAUUUUAAUUGUAUUUUUCUACAUUGUAGAAUAAUAGUGACGACAUCAAAACUAUGAAAACAACCCCUAUUAAUAUAGAAUGUUCUCUGGGUUUAAUAGACAUAUUAAAAGAUUAGUCAUAUAACUUUUUUUAAAAUUAUUAUAAUUAUUAUUCCCUUUAAUGUGGCAUGAAACAGAACCAGUCCUGUUUUCAGCUGAUUGUCUAACAAUCCCUUCCCGAAAGGUUUGCUCCUGUCGGAUAGACGAACCAUGUUUGUCCACCUGCCCAUUUCAUGAAACGGAAAAGAGAUCUGUCACACAAAACUAAAAAACUAAAAAAGUGUGAUGUCAUUCAGUGAUUGUCAUUCGUAACCAUUCGGCUUGUAGCCUGAAUUGAUGCGUCCACUGCUGUAAACGCGCGUCGCGGUCCGUCUCCGUCCGUCUCCGUAGAAACGCAGUCUGGAGGGAAUUUACUGGCCGUUUUAAAUGUUUCAUUCGCUAAUUUUCGUGCAGAUGAGCCGCGGUAAUGUUAAUCCAGAGGUUCCUACCAGCUGUUAUCUCUCUCUCUCUCUGAAUGUCUGGCUGCUGUCACAUCACCUCGGUCAAAUAAAGCUGGACAUUUUGGAUGACUGGUCUCUGUGGUGUUACAUCUAUAAAGGUCCCCCUUCUGUUGUGUUACGUCUAUAAAGGUUCCCCUUCUGUUGUGUUACGUCUAUAAAGGUUCCCCUUCUGUUGUGUUACGUCUAUAAAGGUCCCCCUUCUGUUGUGUCACGUCUAUAAAGGUUCCCCUUCUGUUGUGUUACGUCUAUAAAUGUCCCCCUUCUGUUGUGUUACGUCCAUAAAGGUUCC
rnacentral:lncRNA from 1 species